AACGAACGCUGGCGGCAGGCUUAACACAUGCAAGUCGAGCGCGCUCUUCGGAGCGAGCGGCGGACGGGUGAGUAACGCGUGGGAACGUGCCCUUUUCUUCGGAAUAGCCUCGGGAAACUGAGAUUAAUGCCGGAUACGCCCUUUUGGGGAAAGAUUUAUCGGAGAAGGAUCGGCCCGCGUUGGAUUAGGUAGUUGGUGGGGUAAUGGCCUACCAAGCCGACGAUCCAUAGCUGGUUUGAGAGGAUGAUCAGCCACACUGGGACUGAGACACGGCCCAGACUCCUACGGGAGGCAGCAGUGGGGAAUCUUGGACAAUGGGGCAACCCUGAUCCAGCCAUGCCGCGUGAACGACGAAGGCCUUAGGGUUGUAAAGUUCUUUCAGCGAGGAAGAUAAUGACGGUACUCGCAGAAGAAGCCCCGGCUAACUCCGUGCCAGCAGCCGCGGUAA
rnacentral:rRNA from 1 species